rnacentral:rRNA from 1 species
UCAAGUUAUUAAGGGCUCACGGUGGAUGCCUUGGCGUCAGGAGGCGAAGAAGGACGUGGUAAGCUGCGAUAAGCCUCGGUUAGCCGCAAACAGGCGUUUGAGCCGGGGAUUUCCGAAUGGGGCAACCUGCUGCGGGUAAUGCUGCAGCAUCCGCGGCCCAAGUUGAUUAAGCUGCGGAGGCCAUACCCGGGGAACUGAAACAUCUUAGUACCCGGAGGAGAAGAAAACAACCGUGAUUCUCCAAGUAGCGGCGAGCGAACGGGGAGUAGCCUAAACCGCGAUAGUGUUAGUAGCCUGCCGGUGCUGCUAUUGCGGGGUUGUGGGGCCAUUUUGAGCCAGGCGGCAGACUGGCUGGGGAGUUACAAAAUAUUUAGGUAGGCGAAGCAUCUGGAAAGGUGCGCCGCAGAAGGUAACAGCCCUGUAGCCGAAACCUGGAUAUCUCCCUUAAAUGGACCCCGAGUAGCGCGGGGCACGAGGAAUCCCGUGUGAAUCAGGGAGGCCCACCUUCCAAGGCUAAAUACUACCUGACGACCGAUAGUGGAAAGUACCGUGAGGGAAAGGUGAAAAGCACCCCGGGAGGGGAGUGAAAUAGAACCUGAAACCGUGAGCCUACAAGCAGUCAGAGCACCAUGUCUUUUAUGGACGGUGUGAUGGCGUACUUUUUGUAGAACGGGCCGGCGAGUUACGGUCAGCAGCGAGGUUAAGGGACUUGACGUUCCGCAGCCGCAGCGAAAGCGAGUCUGAAUAGGGCGCGAUAGUUGCUGGCCGUAGACCCGAAACCGGGUGACCUACCCAUGGCCAGGGUGAAGCUUGGGUGACACUGAGUGGAGGCCCGCACCCACCAAUGUUGAAAAAUUGGGGGAUGAGCUGUGGGUAGCGGUGAAAAGCCAACCGAACCCGGAUAUAGCUGGUUCUCCCCGAAAUAGCUUUAGGGCUAGCCUUGGAGGUUUAGCUGCGGAGGUAGAGCACUGAUUGGGCUAGGGGCCUUACCGGGUUACCGAACUCACUCAAACUCCGAAUGCCGCAGCUUGAUACUCCUGGAGUCAGACUACGGGUGAUAAGAUUCGUGGUCGAGAGGGGAACAGCCCAGACCGACAGCUAAGGUCCCGAAAUGCGAGCUAAGUGGGGAAGGAUGUGGAGUUGCUCAGACAACCAGGAUGUUGGCUUAGAAGCAGCCAUCAUUUAAAGAGUGCGUAAUAGCUCACUGGUCUAGUGAUUCUGCGCCGAAAAUGUAACGGGGCUAAGCUUGCUACCGAAGCUUCGGAUUCAAAAAGCUUGUUCUUUUUGGAUGGUAGGGGAGCGUUCUGCAUGCGCUGAAGCCGUACUGGAAGGAGCGGUGGAGCGUGUGGAAGUGAGAAUGCCGGCAUGAGUAGCGAUAAGACAGGUGAGAAUCCUGUUCGCCGCAAGCCUAAGGUUUCCUGAGGAAGGCUCGUCCGCUCAGGGUAAGCCGGGACCUAAGCCGAGGCCGGCUGGCGUAGGCGAUGGGGAACUGGUUGACAUUCCAGUGCCACCUGGCGCCGCUAUGAGCGAUGGGGUGACGCAGGAGGGUAGGCGCAGCGCACCGUUGGUUGAGUGCGUCCAAGCGUGUAGGGAGGGCUUUCAGGCAAAUCCGGGAGCCCGUUAAUCCUGAGGCGCGAUGGGGAGCGAAAUUUUAAGUAGCGAACUGGCUGAUCCCAUACUGCCGAGAAAAGCCUCUAGCCAGGCGUCUGGGUGCCCGUACCGGAAACCGACACAGGUAGGCGAGGAGAGUAUCCUAAGGCGCGCGGGAGAACCCUCGUUAAGGAACUCGGCAAAUUGACCCCGUAACUUUGGGAUAAGGGGUGCCCUGUUAGGGUGAAGGGCUUUGCGCCUGGAGCCCGAGGGGGUUGCAGUGAAUAGGCCCAAGCGACUGUUUACCAAAAACACAGGUCUCUGCGAAGUCGAAAGACGACGUAUAGGGGCUGACGCCUGCCCGGUGCUGGAAGGUUAAGAGGAAGAGUUAUCUGGUCCUUUUGGGUUGGAGAAGCUCUGAAUCUAAGCCCCAGUAAACGGCGGCCGUAACUAUAACGGUCCUAAGGUAGCGAAAUUCCUUGUCGGGUAAGUUCCGACCC